CAAUAGCGUAUAUUAAAGUUGUUGCGGUUAAAAAGCUCGUAGUUGGAUUUCUGCCGAGGACGACCGGUCCGCCCUCUGGGUGAGUAUCUGGCUCGGCCUGGGCAUCUUCUUGGAGAACGUAGCUGCACUUGACUGUGUGGUGCGGUAUCCAGGACUUUUACUUUGAGGAAAUUAGAGUGUUUCAAGCAGGCUUACGCCUUGAAUACAUUAGCAUGGAAUAAUAAGAUAGGACCUCGGUUCUAUUUUGUUGGUUUCUAGAGCUGAGGUAAUGAUUAAUAGGGAUAGUUGGGGGCAUUCGUAUUUAACUGGCAGAGGUGAAAUUCUUGGAUUUGUUAAAGACGGACUACUGCGAAAGCAUUUGCCAAGGAUGUUUUCAUUGA
rnacentral:rRNA from 1 species